rnacentral:rRNA from 1 species
ACGGGAGGCAGCAGUGGGGAAUAUUGCACAAUGGGGGAAACCCUGAUGCAGCGACGCCGCGUGAGCGAAGAAGUAUUUCGGUAUGUAAAGCUCUAUCAGCAGGGAAGAAAAUGACGGUACCUGACUAAGAAGCUCCGGCUAAAUACGUGCCAGCAGCCGCGGUAAUACGUAUGGAGCAAGCGUUAUCCGGAUUUACUGGGUGUAAAGGGAGCGUAGACGGAACAGCAAGUCUGAUGUGAAAGGCAGGGGCUCAACUCCUGGACUGCAUUGGAAACUGCUGAUCUUGAGUGUCGGAGAGGUAAGCGGAAUUCCUAGUGUAGCGGUGAAAUGCGUAGAUAUUAGGAGGAACACCAGUGGCGAAGGCGGCUUACUGGACGAUCACUGACGUUGAGGCUCGAAAGCGUGGGGAGCAAACAGGAUUAGAUACCCUGGUA